UGUGUAGUGAUAUUAUUGCUACAUAGCGACGGAUAUAUUAUUAUUAUUAUAGAACUCGAUUUUUUCUUUUAUAGGAUGGGGAUUACAAAGGUCUGCCAGCUUAAUUACGGAAGUAUCUAAAAUAUUAUAUCGUUUGAACUAUUUGAAGGGAACCUGUUAAGAGCGUAUUGUUCCCCAAUCUCUAUAUAACAUUUGUUUAACAAUGGCUGCAUUGCGUGGGUUGUAUACUGCUUAACAGUAGUAGAUAAAGGAGCUAUGGAGACGUCUGGCCACUUCUAAGUUCAAAGGAUUUGCGGAAUAGGUACUUUGGCGUGAAACAUCUGGUCUAGACGAUCGACCGAAACGGAAUUUUGUCUUUACGGUGGUUUAAUAAUAAUAACACACACAUAACCCACCGCAUCAAAAUCUCGUAAAGAUUGGGCGAUACGAAAGUGUUAAUAGUUAACCUACCAACGCUGCGGUUUUACUCUAUCCAUACAUAAUAUUAAACGUC